GGUUAACGCGAGGAGGCAGACAUGGGUAUCACACGAUCCUUGAAUGUCCUGUUGGUCAGUGCAGGUUCGCGUUCGUCUUGUCCAUGCUCUUCAUUUGAGCGGUCGGCGAACCCUAUGACUGGAAUACCUAGCUCCUGACAAGCUAACAGUUCAGCCAAUUAAAAAGCGCAUGUCACCGCCAGACAUGCGCUUU
rnacentral:sRNA from 1 species